AACGAACGCUGGCGGCAUGCCUAACACAUGCAAGUCGAACGAGACCUUCGGGUCUAGUGGCGCACGGGUGCGUAACGCGUGGGAACCUGCCCUUAGGUUCGGAAUAACUCCCCGAAAGGGGUGCUAAUACCGGAUAAUGUCUUCGGGCCAAAGAUUUAUCGCCUUUGGAUGGGCCCGCGUUGGAUUAGCUAGUUGGUAGGGUAAAAGCCUACCAAGGCGACGAUCCAUAGCUGGUCUGAGAGGAUGAUCAGCCACACUGGGACUGAGACACGGCCCAGACUCCUACGGGAGGCAGCAGUGGGGAAUAUUGGACAAUGGGCGAAAGCCUGAUCCAGCAAUGCCGCGUGAGUGAUGAAGGCCUUAGGGUUGUAAAGCUCUUUUACCCGGGAUGAUAAUGACAGUACCGGGAGAAUAAGCUCCGGCUAACUC
rnacentral:rRNA from 1 species